rnacentral:rRNA from 1 species
UUAGGAAUAUUCGUCAAUGGGGGAAACCCUGAACGAGCAAUGCCGCGUGAACGAUGAAGGCCCUAUGGGUUGUAAAGUUCUGUUGUAUGGGGAGAAUUGCUAAGAUAGGAAAUGAUCUUAGUUUGACGGUACCAUACCAGAAAGCUCCGGCUAACUACGUGCCAGCAGCCGCGGUAAUACGUAGGGAGCGAGCGUUAUCCGGAUUUAUUGGGCGUAAAGGGUGCGUAGGCGGUUUGUUAAGUAUGAGAUUAAAGCCCGAGGCUUAACCUCGGUUCGUUUCAUAAACUGGCAGACUUGAGUAUGGCAGAGGUAAACGGAAUUUCUAGUGUAGCGGUAGAAUGCGUAGAUAUUAGAAGGAACACCAGUGGCGAAGGCGGUUUGCUGGGCCAUAACUGACGCUGAGGCACGAAAGCGUGGGGAGCAAAUAGG